UACGGAGGGAGCUAGCGUUGUUCGGAAAUACUGGGCGUAAAGCGCACGUAGGCGGCGCAGCAAGUCAGGGGUGAAAUCCCGGGGCUCAACCUCGGAACUGCCCUUGAAACUGCAGUGCUAGAAUCUUGGAGAGGCGAGUGGAAUUCCGAGUGUAGAGGUGAAAUUCGUAGAUAUUCGGAAGAACACCAGUGGCGAAGGCGGCUCACUGGCCCGGUACUGACGCUGAGGAGCGAAAGCCAGGGGAGCAAACGGGG
rnacentral:rRNA from 1 species